GUUUGGUUAUCCAGUUUGACAGUGAGUGUUCUCAUCUUUCUUUCUGUAUCCUGUCUAGUCAUUUUUCUUUUCGGUUCUGGGCGCCCGAAGGCUUCUUUCUCCCAUCCAUGAUGUGCAACUGCAGGAGAACCAUCUCUGCUGGAGGACCUAAAGAUCAAGACCAUAGCUGACAAGUACAGGAAGACCACAGUGCAGCUCCUGAUCCGUUUCCAUGACCAGAGGAAUGUGAUUGUUAUCCCCAAGUCUACAAUGCUUCACUGCAUAAACAAAAAAAUUCAGGUAAUUCAGGACAUUACCUUUACAGGUCUUUGACUUUGAGCUGAGCGAGGAUGACAUGGUGACUCUCAUGAGCUUCAACAGGAACUGGAGAGCCUCUCCCUUCAUCUGGUGAGCAUGGAUCUCAGAGGGUGGAGCCAACAACCACCUCUCACUAAUUCACAUCUGUACACCAAAUAUGCUUAGAAACCCUGCAGCCCCUUGAAUUUCUCCAUUCUCCAUCUUAUGUGUAUUCUUUUUGUUUGAGGGGAACAAACUGUAAAGCCUUUAAGCGAGUACUGAGCUCUCCAUUUGGCUAUGAAGGAGGAAGAAU